UCUGCACCUCAGCGGCUGACUGGGGCCCAUGCUGCAGCCUGGGGAGAUGCAACCCCCAAGGACGAGCCGGCCAGACAGUCCCGAGGGCCACAGCUGGAGGAGGGUCUUCCAGGCUUGGGCUGGGGACAAAGCCCCUUUGUGCCUUCCUGGCCGAGGCCCCAUGGAGGACAGAGCUCCUUUCAAGGCCGCCCUGCUCCUCCACAGUGAAGGCUGACUUGGCUUCGGGGAUCCUGGGGCAACACCAUGUGGCUGACACCACGGACUGAUUAGAAACAGCUGGCAAAGGCGCCAGGGCCCUGGGUUGUAGGGGGUGGUUUCAGCCUUUUCUAAUCUUGGCUCUGACUCAGUUAGAAACAGAGUGGGCCCAGAGCCUCCCAGGGGGCUGGUUAACCCCCCAACCCUGAUACAAGGGCCCAGAGCCUCCCGGGGGGCUGGUUAACGCCCCCAACCCCGAUACAAGGGCCCAGAGCCUCCCGGGGCUUUGCCAACUCCAUGUGAAGAUGUCUUCAAGGCAGGGGCCGUGUGGGACGAGCCCGCAUGGCAGGGGAGCGGCAGCCAAGGCCGAGACACAGACAAGUGCAGCGUCAGAGGAGACAGAGGUCCAGCCAGGCCCCUUGGGGGGCAGAUGAGAGCCACAGCACAGCCCACAGGGACCACAGCCCACGAAACCACAGCCCACAGAACCACAGCUCGUGGAGGGACCACAGCCCACUGGGACCGUUGCCCGUGGAGCCAGGUCCUGGGCGCAGACUUCACCUUCUGGACCUUCUCCUAUCCGGAAAGUAUGUGGCUCACACGGUGGUGCAAGGAGCCUUGGGCUGGGCAGCUGCUGGCCUGGAUCCGAGUCCUGCCCUGGUGAAAGUGCUGAUUACUUUACAUACUUCUACAUCUGCAGAACCAGGUGAUUGAUCCUCAAAGCCCAGCCAGCUCCAGCAAGCUCUGGUACCUGCAACCACGGGCCGCCCUGUGCCCGGCCCACCUUCCUCGAACCGUGUUCCGCUCACCUGUGGCGCGGCCGCCCCCGGAGCAGCGCGUGCCGUGUGCCGAGGACAGAGGCAGACCCGGACAGAGAUAGAUGUGGAGGGGUAGCCAGUAUCAGGGGCACCCCCGCUUGUGCUCACUGCCCCACCCGCCUGCUUUUGCCGCUAACGUCCAGACAUUCUUCUCUUAACCCCAAAGCCCCUGGGGUUCAGUUCCUGCUGUUGCAGCCCAAGGGCUCCACCAAGAGCUGGGGGCAGUGUCCACCUCCUGGGGGUCUCGAGGGGCUCCAUAAGAGCCCCUUGUCCUGAGCCCCCACCCAGGCUGCGCACUGGCAGCUGUUCAGUCCCGGCUGGCUUUAAUUGUUGUCGUUUAAUAUUCAAUAUUGACAUAAACUCUAUUUUGGUUGUGAAACCACUCAGCAUUCCAUGUCCUUAUUCCUGGAUUUUGAUUCUAAGCCCCUUUAGGAAAUGUCUGCCCCGAAGUGACCGUCUCGUCUGGAAGGUUCCCACAGAGCAGGGUAUGAUGACAGCCCAACGGGCUUCCUCCCAGUGCAGACACCGCCCCAGCGGCUCCGGCAGGAGCACGUUAUCAUCCGCAGAGGACAGACGCCGAAACGUGCAGGGGCCUGUAAGCCUGCGCAGUGUCACACACACUCAGCCCCAGCGAGGGGCACGCACACAUUACCGUGUUUGAGAUGACAGUUUUACAGUGUGUUGAUUGUUGAUGUCCCCUACUUUUCUGGAUUUUCCUCCAGUUUUGUUUUUUGUGGGUUUUUUUUUUGAGAUAGGGUCUUGCUCUGUCAUCCAGGCUGGACACUAUCUCAAACAAGCAAGCAAACAAAAAAAAAUUAAAAGUGCAGCCCUCACCUCCUCGGCUCAAGCCAUCCUCCCACUUCAGCCUCCUGAGUAGCUGGGACUACAGUUGUCUGCCACCACCCCUGGCUAAUUAAAAAAAAUUUUUUUUGUAAAGACGGGGUCUUGCCAUCCUGCCCAGGCUGGUCUCGAACUCCUGGGCUCAAGCAAUCCUCCCGCCUUCGCCUCCCAAAGUGCUUGGCUUACAGGCAUAAGCCACCACGCCCAGCCAUUCCCCAAUUUUGAAUUGGUAUUAGUAGCUUUAAUUCUGUUCUGUUUCUCUUACAAUAAGCACCUUUCUCAACACAUUUCCAUCCAUUGACAAAAUAGGGAGAA
rnacentral:lncRNA from 1 species